UACGGAGGGGGCUAGCGUUGUUCGGAAUUACUGGGCGUAAAGCGCACGUAGGCGGCUUGAUAAGCGUGCGGUGAAAGCCCGGGGCUCAACCCCGGGUCGGCCGUGCGAACUGUCGAGCUGGAGCACUGUAGAGGCAGGUGGAAUUCCGGGUGUAGCGGUGGAAUGCGUAGAGAUUCGGAAGAACACCGGUGGCGAAGGCGGCCUGCUGGGCAGUGGCUGACGCUGAGGCGCGACAGCGUGGGGAGCAAACAGG
rnacentral:rRNA from 1 species